rnacentral:rRNA from 1 species
AUACCCUAUUAUAAAAAUUUAAAUUAAUUUACUAAAAAAUUAAUAGUUAAGUUCUUUAAAUUUAAAAAAUUUGGCGGUAUUUUAGUCUUAUUAGAGGAACCUGUUUAUUAAUUGAUAAUCCACGAUUAAUUUUACUUAUUUUAAUUAAUUCAUAUAUCGCUGUCAUGAAUAUAUUUAAAAAUUUAUUUUCUUUCUUUAUUUUUAUAAUUUAUGUUAAGUCAAGAUGUGGUUUAUAAAUAAGAAUAUAAUGGGUUACAAUAAAUUUUAUUUUUGAAUUUUAAAUGAAAAUUAAAAUGAAAUUGGAUUUAAUAGUAAAUUUAUU